CCCUUAGAUGUCCUGGGCUGCACGCGCGCUACACUGAUGUGUCCAGUAAGCACCUAACCUCUUCCGAAAGGAACGGGUAACCUUUGCAAAGCACAUCGUGAUGGGGAUAGAUUAUUGCAAUUAUUAGUCUUGAACGAGGAAUUCCUAGUAAGCACAAGUCAUCAGCUUGUGUUGAUUACGUCCCUACCCUUUGUACACACCGCCCGUCGCUCCUACCGAUUGGAUGUUCCGGUGAGCUCUUCGGACUGCGCGGUCUGCAGUUUCUGCGUUCCGUGCGGAAAGUUGCGCAAACCUUAACAUUUAGAGGAAGGAGAAGUCGUAACA
rnacentral:rRNA from 1 species